GUCGGUCGUUUCUCCUCCCUGUAUUCUCCUUCUUAUCUUCCUAACGCCGCGUUAACCACAAUAUUAUACGGGCAUGAUGCAAGAGACGCGCUCCGUUACUACCACGUGUCUUCGUCGUUGACUCCACGUCGACGAUCCUUGUUGUCAUCUCAUAUCCGUCUGACUCAUUCUUAGAACGUAUUUUCGUACGAUCGCUUAUUAUUCUCCCUCUUAUUCCUUCUUCACGAUGAUAUAUAUGUAUUUAUAUAUAUAUAUAUAUCUUUUGUCAUGUCUUAUAUAUCGAGCCUCGAUAACAACGUUUCUUCCUUACUUCGCAUCUUACGUGAGCGAUACGCAUCUAGAUCAGGGACGCCACCGGUUGAUAACCACUGACCUUCUCGAACAUUCGAAACCUACACACAUGUACUCGGCCGUUGUCUAUAUACGCCGUCCUGCCUACGUGCUGUGAGCCACGAUUGAGGCGAACGAUUCCAGCGUGCCGACUCGCGGAAAAUUUGCUCGAAAUUCUACUCGUAUCGUUCUCUCUGUCCUUCUCCUAUCUCUCUCUCUCUCUCCCUCUCUAUUUCUCUCAUCAUCGAUCUCGGAUGUUUUUCCGCAUGCUAAAGUUUUCAGAGCGUUGGUAAAGGAAAAUUAUUUCUUUUGUUUCUUUUUUUUUCUUUUUUUUUUUUUUUUUUUUUUUUUUUUUAUUUCGUGAUGUCCUCGCCGAGAAGAGGUAUCAUUGGGUAGAAACGUUAUGGAGUCUCGUGAACGAACAACGCGUCGCGAGUCGCGCGAUACACGUUUGGGAAUGGAUGCGCGCGCAUCCUGGCCGUAGGCCACGUAUAACAUCGUACGACGUAGAGAGAGAGAGAGAGAGAGAGAGAGGACACUAGCAGAAAUACGUAUACACAACAGAGAAAGAUAGUUAUGUAUAUAUGUGUAUAUGUAUGUAAAGUGAUCGCGUGAGGUAUGAGGAGAGGGGAGAGAAUGAGAUAUGGAUAUGUACACGUAAACGAAUGAGUAGCGCGAGAAAAGUUGAGGAGGAGGAAGAGAAGGAGGAGAAUAGGAGAGGAGAGGGAGAGAGAGAGAGAGAGAGAGAUCUAUACAGGCCGACCAAAAGGUUCCUCUAUAGUACUUAGUUAUACUAAUCAACGUAUUACGUAUAUACGCUAUAUUAGAUUUCUUUUUGCAAACAAAAUAAAGACCGUUAAGAGUGUUUACUAACAGAUAGAACGUUUUCGACGAUAUCACGAAAAACUUCGAGAUAAGAAAGAGAGGGGAGGAGAUAAAAGGUUGAGAUCUCUUUCGAGUAACCUGAGACAAACUUGUGUACAAUAUAUUAUGUAUGUAUAAACAUAAACGCUGUUAGGGUGGGAAAGGAAAAGGUGAGGCAAAAGAGUCAAACGAAUAGUUCAACUCUGGCUAGAUACGGAGAAGAGAGUUCCCCUUCAGACAGCAUCGUCGAACAAAGUUAUGCAUUUAAAAAUGGGAAGGAAUAUUUGUCGC